AGUAUGAAAAUAGCACUACACAGUGGAAGGUUGCUGAUACGUCUUCGAUCCCCAUAAAAUCCGAACUCCAAUACCAGUUCGAAUUGAAAGACUUAAAAUACGCCUACACAUUGUACGAAGUACGAGUUCAAAUAAAAUCUGCAGUAGCUCCGAAUGAAACCAGCAAAUGGUCCGAGUACAGAUCAGUGUUCUUCAAAACUUUACCAGAAAAGCCUUCUAGGCCGCCAAAUACAGUCAUCAGCAGUUACGAAGUGGUCAAC